GACGAACGCUGGCGGCGUGCUUAACACAUGCAAGUCGAGCGGUAAGGCCCUUCGGGGUACACGAGCGGCGAACGGGUGAGUAACACGUGAGCAAUCUGCCCUGCACAUCGGGAUAACCCCCGGAAACGGGAGCUCAUACCGGAUACGACCACUUCAGGCAUCUGAUGGUGGUGGAAAGUUCUGGCGGUGCAGGAUGAGCUCGCGGCCUAUCAGCUGGUUGGUGGGGUAACGGCCCACCAAGGCUUCGACGGGUAGCCGGCCUGAGAGGGUGACCGGCCACACUGGGACUGAGACACGGCCCGGACUCCUACGGGAGGGAGCAGUGGGGAAUAUUGGACAAUGGGCGAAAGCCUGAUCCAGCAACGCCGCGUGAGGGAUGACGGCCUUCGGGUUGUAAACCUCUUUCAGCAGGGACGACGCGCAAGUGACGGUACCUGCAGAAGAAGCACCGGCCAACUACGUGCCAGCCGCCGCCGUAACAC
rnacentral:rRNA from 1 species